GGGCUCUUGGCACAGGGGUAGCGCGCACGCUUCGCAUUAUAUUGUCUGCGUGAGGUCGUGGGUUCAAUUCCCACAGUGUCCA